AUAUUUGUUCUGCCAACUUCACAGGACUUAUUUCUAACCCUGUAUCAUGUCUGCAAUUGCAGUUUUGCAAAAAAUACUGGGGUUAAGUGGAUUGGGGAAGUGAAAAGCUAUCAUUUGAGCUGUUCAGAGCUACAUAGUAACGUUCUAGAGUUCUGUUGUUCAUAUCUCUGUUUUUCUUUUUUGUUGUUUUGCUGUUGUUUUAAGGGUUCUAAGUCUGGAAUUAAAUACAGAUAGAGAUGUGGAAAGAAUACAUGAGACUGGUAUCAACACCCUUGAUAUUGAGCCUGUUGAGGGAAGAUACAUGUUAUCCGGUGGGUCAGAUGGUGUUAUUGUACUUUACGACCUUGAAAACUUGAGCAGAAAACCAAGUUACACAUGUAAAGCUCUUUGUUCUGUGGGAAGGAGCCAUCCUGAUGUACAUAGAUUCAGUGUGGAGACAGUCCAGUGGUAUCCUCAUGACACUGGCAUGUUUACAUCCAGCUCAUUUGAUAAAACCUUGAAAAUAUGGGAUACAAAUACUUUACAACCUGCAGAGGUAUUUCGCUUUGAGGGAACAAUCUAUAGCCAUCACAUGUCUCCAGUUGCUACAAAGCAUUGUUUAAUAGCAGUUGGUACCAAAAGCCCCAAAGUACAGCUCUGUGACUUGAAGUCUGGAUCCUGUUCUCACAUUCUGCAGGGUCACAGGCAAGAAAUACUGGCGGUGUCUUGGUCCCCACGUCAUGAAUAUAUUCUGGCAACAGCAAGUGCUGACAGUAGAGUAAAAUUAUGGGAUGUGAGGAGAGCAUCUGGAUGUCUGACUACGCUUGAUCAGCACAAUGGAGAAAAGUCCAAAGCAUCUUCUGAGGCAGCGAAUACUGCUCACAAUGGGAGAGUUAAUGGUUUAUGCUAUACAAAUGAUGGACUUCAUCUGUUGACCAUUGGUACAGAUGAUCGGAUGCGACUCUGGAACAGCUCCACUGGAGAAAACACAUUAGUGAAUUAUGGGAAAGUCUAUAAUGAAAGUAGAAAAGGGCUCAAAUUCACCAUCUCUUGUGGCUGUAAUCCAGAGUUUGCCUUUGUACCGUAUGGUGGUACCAUUGCUGUUUAUACAAUUUUCACAGGAGAACUGAUAACUAUGCUUAGAGGGCAUUAUAGUACUGUCAACUGCUGUGUGUUUCAAUGUAAUUUUCAGGAACUUUAUAGUGGUAGCAAAGACUGCAAUAUCCUUGCAUGGAUACCGGCUCUUCAAGAGCCACUUCCCGAUAAUGUUUCUGAAAAGAAUCUGCCUCAACAACACUUAAAUCCAGCAUAUGAAGACGCAUGGAGUAGCAGUGAUAAUGAAGGCUGACUUUCAAUUAUGUGCUGAUACAAAAUUGACAUUGAGGCACUGCAUUCAUGGACUUUACCUACAGAAUUGGAUACUGUCAGAUUUAUUACAACUGGAUUUUUGGUAGAGUUCUGUUAGAGCAAGGUCUUUCAGAAGUAAGUUUCCACUGUUCUCUGUGUUCUUUCUUCACUGUUACACUUAAAUCUAAAGGAUAACUUUUUCAUACUUACUGACUUUUGUACUUACCUUUACACAUUGGUAUACUUUAUUCACUGUUGAACAGCUGAUAAAGGAAAAAUAAAAGCCCUUGGAACCAGUUAAUAUUGCAUUGGUUUUGGUAUCACUAAUGCAUCCCUAUGUUUCCAAGAGACAUGAUACAGAGGAUUUUGCCUGAAGGAGGACUAGCUCAGGCAUACUUCCAGCUUAUUUUUAAAAAUUUCUAGAUGGAGCAGACUGCGUCCAUUUUCAAGUGCUUAUGUGCUGUGGGAACCAACAGGAUUUUGUGCCUGUUCUUUUGCAUUUUCAGUUUUGUGUGUUUCUCUAUAAAUGCAGCAUUCAGUUCAGAAAGAGGUAUAGCUGGGAUCAUCUAUGCAAGUAUUUGUGGUGACCCCAUCAGCUAAUAUCUGAAUCUGUCCCAGAAAGUUAACAAUAGAAGCUAGUUUAUUUAGAGUUUUUGUUGUUCCUGUUAGCAGGUUUUUAAGAUCAGUCUUCUAUGUAUGAAUCUCUCGUGUGAAGAAUUCCGGGACAGAAACAGGCUUGAGAUAUGCUGUGUCAACAGGGCAGAAUGAAUGCAGCAGUUUGGGGAGCCCAUGUUUGCUGUGAUAAAAGUUGCACCAAACAGUAGGUGUAUGGUAAGAAUAUCAAGUUCUCAUGUUUUGUGCCAGUCAGUAGGGAGUGUCUCGUGUUGCUCAACAGUUAAUUACUGUUGCUAUCGCCUCCUACACUGUUCUGCAACACCCCAGGAAAUCAGCUGAUUAUGAUUCUUACACUAGCAAACAUGAAAAAAUGUUUGGGGACUUUAUAAAAUAGCAGAUUUGAAUUAAGCUCUUUUCUUUUGCCCAUCACUAGUUCUUCUAGGUGGAGUAUAUGGCCCAGAGAAUGUAUUUUUGUACCUGAAUGAUGCAUUAUGGCCUCUGUGAGUUGAAGCUAAGCACCUUCAGUAUCCAAAUGGUCUGAUGCUGUUCUGUGGUUUUGCACCACCACUGGUGCAACAGGAGCCUUAUACCAAACAGUUCUGCACAUCUUCUGUGGGAAAUGGUCACAUUUGGCACUUAGUUGGUGUGUAUUGCUUGUUCCCAGGGUAGUGCAUAAAUUGUUUCCCAAGGAAAAAAAAUGCAUCUCUAGAGUUGCAUGGAACUUUGCCAUCUGAAUGCUAUUCAUCAUUGUUUAUAAAGAAAGUUUCCAGAACAUUUAAUUGUUUUGCAGACAGGUAAUCUACCUGAGGGCCUGCAUGCAUGUUUGAAACAGCUGCUUCAUCCUGUUCUGCCACUAUGGGUAACUAUUAAAGUUUAGAUUGACUAAUGCAGGAUAUCAAAGUAAUUUAAAUAACACUCAGUGAUGGGCUACUAUAUUAAAUGUAGAUACCUAUGAGACAUGCAGAACUCUGGGCUGUAAGAAUUAUAUUCCUGCUUAGCAGAAUUCCCCUGUGUUGGAUUAUAGGUUUCAGUAUUUCAGGAGGCUUACUCUGUGUGCCCUAAACAUGCAUAAGGUCUCACUGGUACAUCUCAUAUCAGUAGGAAUGCUUAUUAUAUAUUCCAGUGGCCUUGAAAACUGCACCAGCAAAGAUUUUUCCUGCCAGAGAGAGGAAAAAUGAUGCAAGUCAAAGGGUAGAAAGUGGUCCCGUGAUUCACAAGACUGCUCAAGCAUUAAGGUUGGCAGGCACAAGAAAAAUGAAGACAGAGAAAGGAAACAAAGAGCCAUUCUAGUUUAUAGAAGGGAAGGUAGAGCCCUGCUUGUGCCCCAAGAUGCACAGGGUGUGCAUGUUCGACAGUCCUCCAUGCUGCAGUGGUGCAUCACCAAGGCCAAUGCUCGCUCCUGCAGCACCCUGAUCUCCUGAACCCUGAAGUGAAGAUCCUGCUCCAAGUCAGCCAGUGCACAGGAGCUGUGAAAGCAACAGUUUUCACACUGCUCCAUCUUCCUUCUAUCCCUACUGCUUUUACCCAGGGUCAAUUAAAUACAAAUAUUUCAUGAUCCCCAACCCCUUCCUCCUCUCCCUCUCUCCCCAGCAGGCUGUUGAUAAUCAUUGCUGUUAAUUUGCAUCUCCUUUCUCUGCUGCACACAGCCAUGCCCACGCACAGCUCUCCAAGCCAGGACUUAAUCCUGGCCUGUCUCUACACUGAGGUCCUCAGCCUUUUACUCAUACAAUAUUAUUCAUCCAGCUCUUCUGCUUAAAAUUAGUAGUUCUGUCUGCUUUUGGAAUAUCACCCAAACUCUCUGGAGAGUCUGUCGGCCCAUCCUCUCCUUUUUUCUCCAUUUCCAUUCAGCUGGCAUAGCUAUGUGCUUAGGUGCAUACAGUGGUUUGCCAGUUCAGAGAGUAUUCUGAGCAGAAGAACAUGAGAGCUUUGAUCUGAAAGCCAUUUGGCUAUGUUAGAGCAGAACUGCACCCACAGAAUAAGGAAAAUGGGAAGGAGGUUUCAUUAGCUUUUUCAUAACCCUUUGUUAACAUAUACAUGCAGUUUCUGGAGUAACACUAGCUGCUUGUUAACUCACUUGGACCCAGUGCAAUAUUUUUCUAUGAAGAAGCAGCUCAUUAGUUCACACACU